rnacentral:lncRNA from 1 species
GUUAGGCAUCUAUAGGAUUAUAUUCUCUAACACCUGAAUAGAAACCCUGCAUCUAAUAUCUUCCAAUAUAGUUACACCCCCAAUCAUCUUGUUAGUCGAGCAAUAGACUUUCUCAAUUAGGAAUUCUAUUUACUUUUAAACCAUAAAACAACAAACACCUAGAAUUAAUAACCUGACUAGAUUUAAUAGGUUCCCUAGCUCCUUGUGGAUUCGAUCCCUAAGUACUGCAACUGAACCUCUUAUCUGAGAGAGUAAUUCACACCUUAGGGUAAUUUGAGUGGUAUCAAAUUUGGCGCCGUUGCCGGGGAGCUUUGAUCGCCAUUAGAUUUAGCGUUAUUGAUUCUUAUUCUCUUCUCUACCCCCAU